rnacentral:rRNA from 1 species
CCUACGGGUGGCAGCAGUGGGGAAUAUUGGGCAAUGGGCGCAAGCCUGACCCAGCAACGCCGCGUGAAGGAAGAAGGCUUUCGGGUUGUACACUUCUUUUCUCAGGGACGAAGGAAGUGACGGUACCUGAGGAAUAAGCCACGGCUAACUACGUGCCAGCAGCCGCGGUAAUACGUAGGUGGCAAGCGUUAUCCGGAUUUAUUGGGUGUAAAGGGCGGGUAGGCGGGAGCGCAAGUCAGAUGUGAAAACUCAGGGCUCAACCCUGGGCCUGCAUUUGAAACUGUGUUUCUUGAGUGCUGGAGAGGCGAUCGGAAUUCCGUGUGUAGCGGUGAAAUGCGUAGAUAUACGGAGGAACACCAGUGGCGAAGGCGGUCUGCUGGACAGCAACUGACGCUGAGGCGCGAAAGCGUGGGGAGCAAACAGGAUUAGAUACCCCAGUAGUC